AUACGGAGGGGGCAAGCGUUGUUCGGAAUUAUUGGGCGUAAAGCGUAUGUAGGCGGUUAAAUAAGUCAGGUGUGUAAGCCCAGGGCUCAACCCUGGAAUUGCAUUUGAAACUAUUUGACUUGAGGUCGGGAGAGGAAAGCGGAAUUCCCAGUGUAGCGGUGAAAUGCGUAGAUAUUGGAAAGAACACCAGUGGCGAAGGCGGCUCACUGGCUCGGUACUGACGCUGAGGUGCGAAAGCGUGGGGAGCAAACAGGAUUAGAUACCCCGGUAGUCC
rnacentral:rRNA from 1 species